rnacentral:rRNA from 1 species
AGGAACUGGCGGCGUGCUUACACAUGCAAGUCGAACGAUGAAGGCUGGUGCUUGCACUGAGCUGGAUUAGUGGCGAACGGGUGAGUAACACGUGAGUAACCUGCCCUUGGCUCUGGGAUAAGCGCUGGAAACGGCGUCUAAUACCGGAUAUAACUUCCUGCCGCAUGGUGGGGGGUGGAAAGUUUUUGCGGCUUUGGAUGGACUCGCGGCCUAUCAGCUUGUUGGUGAGGUAGUGGCUCACCAAGGCGACGACGGGUAGCCGGCCUGAGAGGGUGACCGGCCACACUGGGACUGAGACACGGCCCAGACUCCUACGGGAGGCAGCAGUGGGGAAUAUUGCACAAUGGGCGAAAGCCUGAUGCAGCAACGCCGCGUGGGGGAUGACGGCCUUCGGGUUGUAAACCUCUUUUGGUAGGGAAGAAGCCUUCGGGUGACGGUACCUGCAGAAAAAGGACCGGCUAACUACGUGCCAGCAGCCGGGGGUAAUACAA